rnacentral:lncRNA from 1 species
GACAGUUUGAUUUUUAAAGGCCAAAUCUCUCCAGACUCCGAAGAACUCUGUAGCCAAACAGCAGCACAUACUAAUCAGGCCUGCCUCUCCUUAGAGCAGCAGCACAGAAGCCUGGAGACAUGGACUUCCAUCCCAUAUUCGCAUUCAACAGCAAAAUAAAUCCAAAUAUAAGGCAGUGCUACAAUUCAAAGACUGUCUGAGAUCAGAAGAGAUUGGGCGUGUUCAGUGUGAUACGGGUAGAGAUGUUCCCUCACUCCACUGGCCCUCAGCCACAUGCAGACCAACCUUGAAGAAUACACCCAAGCGGUCUGCACUCAGAUCAAACCCUGAUCUCCCACAACUACAUCAAUACACAAACAACCACCAGAAUACAAUCUAACUGCUACAACAAUAAGCAAGUACCAAGAGAGUCCAAACUGAAACAGCUGAGUUUCUUUCUCCGUCAAAUUUCAAAGGCUGUUCUUCCUAGGCAAUCAGAAGUGUGGUUGGGGCUGGCAGCAGCAAUGCUAAAUAGAGAGACUAAAACCCACAUCCUGCCUAAAACAGAUGGGCUGCUGCUUAGGGUUGUGGAAAUUCUCCCAGCUGGUGACAGCCAAGCCAAGAGCAAUGUCUUCCUGAUGAGGGAACCAAAAUCUGUUACUGAAAUGCCAGAGGUUCAGUCUAGGUCCCGUUACUCAUUGCACAGAAUGCCAAUCACUGAGGCAAGUAUUUCCAGGGGAGAUGACUGUAUUCAAGUGCUGCAGCUGAGCAGAACUGCAGAUCAGUCUCAAAUUCUUCUCCCCAAGUGACUGAAAUUGGGGGUUUACAUAGCAGAGGAGGAAUGUAGCUACAUGCAGGAAAUAAUGUAACUAUGUGUGGGAAGACAAUUUGAAUUUCAGGGCAACAGGAGAUUUGAUGGGGAAUGAACACCCCACAGCUCUAUGCAGGAGUGCCUGGAAGUGAGGCCAGUCAAGGGAAUGCUGCCAGACAACUAACUCAGCUUCAGACCAUCUUCAGAUUGUAACCCACCAGGGACCGCGGGCUUGCCAGACCACAUUUUUGGUUACUGCAACUCAAGUUGGCUUCUAAAUCUCAAAAAAUGUGACAAUGAUACAGAUUUUUUUAUCUACUUUUGUCUAAAACAUUUAAAUACUCAUUCCGAAGUAACUCAUCUCAAAAUCCAAUGCUAGAAAAAUGGAAAUAAUUACAGGCAGAUGCAAUGAUUUAAAUGUUUAAAAGAAGCUUUCCAUUCUAAGGAGUCAGAGGAAAACUUUCCUUAUGAAAUGGUUAAUGAAAUAAAUAGGAAAAAAAACUCCAACACAAUCAUGAGGUUCCAGAAAACAUUGUAUAUUUAUUUAAAAAGUAAUUUUGUAUGAAUGAAAUAUUUCUUAAGGUUCGGCCUUUGUUUCCUUCCACCCGGCAGGAAAUGAAAUUACUGGAUUUAUGGUCAAGGAAAAAUCACUAACCCACAGCCCUCAGACGCACUUAUGAAAAUGGGAAGAAUGCAUACACAGGGAUCAGAGAACAGAGAAACAGGUGAAUCUUGUGGUUGGAAAGAAACGCACUUUGGUAUGUACACACAGAAUUAACUUUACUUUUCCACUAAGCUCACUCUGAGAUUUAGAAAUCCCUACAUCUGGGUAGGCUGGAGUCAAUCCCAAGGCUUUUAUGGUUCCUUGAAGUAAAAAGAGCAGUCUCAUGUCAGAAAUUAAUAGGUCCAGUCUAGCACAAUAUUGAAACUCCAAACUUCAAUUUAAACUCUACUUGGAAGCCUGCAGAAGAGGAGGCAGGCUGUUUUGCUGCCUCUUUUUUUCCCUAGCAUCAUCAAAUCCUCUAUUCAUUGGCUGCUGUUUCUUAAACAUUUCAUGGGAAAGAGAAAUAGAAGCACAGAGAUCUGCUGUAAAUGGCUCUUUCUCUUACCAGGUGCUGUUGGGGGUUUUUCAGAAGUCAUAUCAUAUGACUGAAACUUAUCUCCUGUCUGAUUUCUUCUCAACUUUUGGGAUUCUACAGAUUCUCACCAUUAGAAUUUCAGUGUCUGGCAGUCCUCUGGGAAACUACUUUUUUAAAAUUAUGGUAAAAUACACAUAAAAAAAUUUGUCAUCCUAACCAUUUUUAAGUGUAAAUUUCAGUAGUGUUAAGUACAUUACAUUGUUUUGCAAUCAAUCUCCAGAACUAUUUUCAUCUUGCAAAGCUAAAACUCUGUAUCUGUCAAUGACUCCCCAUUUCCUCUUUCCCCCAUCCCUUAGCAACCACCAUUCUAUUUUCUGUUUCUAUCAGCUUAACUCUUCUAAGUAACUCAUGUAAGUGAAAUCAUACAGUACUUGUGCUUUUGCGACUGGCUUAUUCCACAUAGCAUAAUGCCUUCAAUGUUUAUUUAUGUUGUAGCUUGUCUCAGAAUGUCCUUCCUUUUUAAAGCUGAAUAAUAUUCCAUUAUAUGUAUAUACCACAUUUUUUUAGUCCACCCAUCGAUGGACACCAGGGUUGCUUUAACCUGUUGACUUGUGAAUAAUGCUGCUAUGAAUAUGGCUGUACAAAUCUCCUGGAGAUAACCUGUUUUAAUUAUUUUGGCUAUAUAUCCAGAAGCAAAAGUGCUGGAUUAUAAUUUAAUGUUUAAUUUGGUGGGGAACCACCAUAUUGUUUUCUGUAGUGGUUGCAUUAUUUUACAUUGCCAUGAAAAUUUCACUAGGGUUGCAAUUUAUCCAUAUCCCUAUAGUAUUUGUUAUUUUCUGGGUUUUCUUUUCCACAGGAGCCAUCUUAAUGGAUGUGAGGUGAUCUCUUAAUAUAGUUUUGAUUUGAAUUUCCCAAAUUAUUAGUGAUAUUGAAUGUCUUUUCAUAUGUUUGCUGGACAUUUGUUUAUGUCUUAUGAAGAGGUAUCUAUUCAAAUC